CCUACGGGAGGCAGCAGUGGGGAAUAUUGCACAAUGGGGGAAACCCUGAUGCAGCGACGCCGCGUGAAGGAAGAAGUAUUUCGGUAUGUAAACUUCUAUCAGCAGGGAAGAAAAUGACGGUACCUGACUAAGAAGCCCCGGCUAACUACGUGCCAGCAGCCGCGGUAAUACGUAGGGGGCAAGCGUUAUCCGGAUUUACUGGGUGUAAAGGGGGCGUAGGCGGUUUAGCAAGUCAGAAGUGAAAGCCCGGGGCUCAACCCCGGGACUGCGUUUGAAACUGUUGAACUAGAUUGCAGGAGAGGUAAGUGGAAUUGCUAGUGUAGCGGUGAAAUGCGUAGAUAUUAGGAGGAACACCAGUGGCGAGGGCGGCUUACUGGACUGUAAAUGACGCUGAGGCUCGAAAGCGUGGGGAGCGAACAGGAUUAGAUACCCGAGUAGUC
rnacentral:rRNA from 1 species